AACGAACGCUGGCGGCAGGCCUAACACAUGCAAGUCGCACGAGAAACGGAGCAAUCCGCGGUACAGUGGCGCACGGGUGAGUAACACGUGGAUGACCUUCCCUGGAGUGGUGGAUAACCUGCCGAAAGGCGGGCUAAUACAGCAUGGGACCACGACGCUUUGGCGAUGUGGUGAAAGCGGGCCUCUAUAUAUAAGCUCGCGCUCCGGGACGGGUCCGCGUCCCAUCAGCUAGUUGGUGAGGUAACGGCUCACCAAGGCAACGACGGGUAGCUGGUCUGAGAGGAUGGCCAGCCACACUGGAACUGAGACACGGUCCAGACUCCUACGGGAGGCAGCAGUGGGGAAUCUUGCGCAAUGGGCGAAAGCCUGACGCAGCGACGCCGCGUGGGCGAAGAAGGCCUCGG
rnacentral:rRNA from 1 species